rfam:Asian citrus Psyllid, Diaphorina citri - Florida Strain, whole genome shotgun sequence.
GCCAGUGGCGAUAGCACGUUGAAUACACCCGUUCCCAAUGGUUCACUGAAGAGCAGCAACUUUGCGUUUGUUUGUAUCCGGGUGGGUGACCAAUUGACCGUAUAGGCAAUUGCGUUCUGCUGGCU